AGAAACAAAUGGGAGUGGAAUGAAUUGAUGCUGGGUGGGAUGUGGCCUCCACACUUAACUCUUGUUUUCCUGAAUUACAUGUUUCUCUUCGGGCCUAGGGUUUCCUGCAUCUGGCUCAAUGACUUCCACACUAAGCAUUUCCCAGUUCAUGGAGAACGACACUCAUUGGAAUCCACUACGAGGCUUUUGGGUCCUCUGACAGGAAUCAUCGAAGAUUGCCUGAUGCCAGCACAAGGCAGCUCAUUGUCUCAGGAAUCUACAGUGGCUCUUGAUGGUACUGCUGGACACCCUUUUCAGGAUUGCUAUCACCACAGACGGCCUUUGAGACACUGACUCAACAUCAUCUGCAACUGUGAGAAGCCAAUCAGAGGUGUGAGAACACAGCUCCACCUUGGUCUUGC